CCCCGGCCCGGUCCUGCCCUCCCGUCCCCUCCUCUCCCGCCCCGGGGCAGGGCAGGCUGCUCUCGGGGGCAGGUGGAGAGCACGGGCAGUGCCAGCAAAGGGAAACCGUUCCUGGGAGCCUGGGACAAAGAGACCUUGGAGAGCUUCGGGACGAGGCAGGGGGUAGUAUUACAAGAGGCACCCUCAGCUCCUCAUGCAGAAAUACACUCUUGAAGUAGAAGCAGCAGUCUGAGCCACAGGACGUGUUUCAGAAGGGCCGUCUCCGUUUGAGGAAAGUUGGGAAAACUCUACACAAAGUUGGUGGUACGGCCACUUGGCAGGCUGCUUCCCAGCUCUCAAAUACGGGAACAUAGAGCCGUUAUUUCUAUCUACCCAUCACCCCUGCAGCCCUGCACGGGAAGAUACGCUGAGCAUCAGCUAUGCCACCAAGUGAUGUGUCGCCCGUUGGAGAGAAAUCAACAUCCCUCUGGGAGGGAAGUGAGAGCCAGCAGGAUCUGCUGCGAAGCACCUGAAAGAGACACGUGAAUGCUCUGCUACUCUCCUCUAGCCUGCCAUGGAACAGCCCCAGUAAUUCAGAGUCCUUGCUUACCAGGUCCGUGAAGGAGGACAACUGGAAGGACUGCUUGUUUUGUUCAAGAAGAUGGAAAGUUAAAAAUCAGUGGAGUUUACC